rnacentral:pre_miRNA from 1 species
UCUUAUUGAUGAGCAAAGAAAGUAGUUUCUUGUGAUGGAAUCUACUCCUGGGUGAAGAUGCUGUGAA